UACGUAGGGGGCGAGCGUUGUCCGGAUUCAUUGGGCGUAAAGCGCGGGCAGGCGGCCCGCUCAGUCGGCCGUGAAAGCGCCGGGCUCAACUCGGCGAGGUCGGGCGAUACUGGCGGGCUGGAGGCUGGUAGAGGGCGGUGGAAUUCCGGGUGUAGUGGUGGAAUGCGUAGAGCUCCGGAGGAACACCAGUGGCGAAGGCGGCCGCCUGGGCCAGUCCUGACGCUGAGCCGCGAAAGCGUGGGGAGCGAACAGG
rnacentral:rRNA from 1 species